rnacentral:rRNA from 1 species
GGGUUCUACCGUUGGUCAGGCUAUAGUCUGUACUGGCGUGUGGAAUUUCUACCUUCUGGGGAACUAUCAUGUUAUUAAUUUAGCGUGGUAGGAAACCAGAACCUUUACCUUGAAAAAAUUAGAGUGUUCAAAGCAGGCGUAACCUUGCCAUUGAAUAUUACAGCAUGGGAUAAUAGAAUA